rnacentral:rRNA from 1 species
GAUGAACGCCAGCGGGAGGCCUAACACAUGCAAGCCGAGCGGUAGAGAUUCUUCGGAAUCUUGAGAGCGGCGUACGGGUGCGGAACACGUGUGCAACCUACCUUUAUCUGGAGGAUAGCCUUUCGAAAGGAAGAUUAAUACUCCAUAAUAUAUUGAUUGGCAUCAAUUGAUAUUGAAAGCUCCGGCGGAUAGAGAUGGGCACGCGCAAGAUUAGUUAGUUGGUGAGGUAACGGCUCACCAAGACGAUGAUCUUUAGGGGCCUGAGAGGGUGAUCCCCCACACUGGUACUGAGACACGGACCAGACUCCUACGGGAGGCAGCAGUGAGGAAUAUUGGUCAAAUGGGUGCAAGCCUGAACCAGCCAUCCCGCGUGAAGGACGACUGCCCUAUGGGUUGUAAACUUCUUUUGUAUAGGGAUAAACCUACCCUCGUGAGGGUAGCUGAAGGUACUAUACGAAUAAGCACCGGCUAACUCCGUGCCAGCAGCCGCGGUAAU